AAUCAACGCUGGCGGCGUGCCUAACACAUGCAAGUCGAACGCGAAAGUCCCGCAAGGGAUAAGUAGAGUGGCAAACGGGUGAGUAACGCGUGGGUGACCUGCCUUCGAGCGGGGGAGUAACGUUCCGAAGGGACGCUAAUACCGCAUAACAUCCCGCCUUUAAGUAGGUGGAGAUCAAAGCUGGGGAGUCGCAAGACCUAGCACUUGAAGAGGGGCCCGGCCGUCUGAUUAGCUAGUUGGUGAGGUAACGGCUCACCAAGGCGACGAUCAGUAUCCGGCCUGAGA
rnacentral:rRNA from 1 species